GAUGAACGCUGGCGGCGUGCCUAAUACAUGCAAGUCGAGCGAACAGACGAGGAUCUUGCUCCUCUGACGUUAGCGGCGGACGGGUGAGUAACACGUGGAUAACCUACCUAUCAUACUGGGAUAACUUCGGGAAACCGGAGCUAAUACCGUAUAAUAUAUUGAACCGCAUGGUUCAAUAGUGAAAGACGGUUUUGCUGUCACUUAUAGAUGGAUCCGCGCCGCAUUAUCUAGUUGGUAAGGUAACGGCUUACCAAGGCAACGAUGCGUAGCCGACGUGAGAGGGGGAAGGGCCACACUGGAGCUGAGACACGUCCAGACUCCUACGGGAGGCAGCAGUAGGGAAUCGUCCGCAAUGGGCGAAAGCCUGACGGAGCAACGCCGCGUGAGUGAUGAAGGUCUUCGGAUCGUAAAACUCUGUUAUUAGGGAAGAACAAAUGUGUAAGUAACUAUGCACGUCUUGACGGUACCUAAUCAGAAAGCCACGGCUAACUACGUG
rnacentral:rRNA from 1 species